GCCGCCUACUGCACAGUGAAAUUCCCAUAGGCAGAGGGAGAUUUCUAGUUGGUUUUCUAGGUUGCAGUGAGUGCUCAGUGUAUGUUUUCUGACUAAUGGGAAUCUCAUGACAUUUGGAUAAAUCUUGAUAUCUUAUGCCAUAUCCCUGGUCCUCUCCACUUUCUACCUGCUCAGAUCACACCAUCCUUUUGACCCAGAUGAUGAAGAUUUCUCUGACACAGUACAGUACCAUUCUCAUCUGUCUACUCAGCAAAGACAAAAAAGAAUGGGAAUUUUAAAAGUCUGUUUCUGAUAAGGAUACUGGUGGGAGCAAACAUUGGUAAAACCUUUCUGGAAGGCGAUUUGGCCCAAAAUAUUUUAAAAACUUAAAAUGUACACAACUUUUGAUGCAGCAACUCCACUUCUAAGAAUUUAUUCUGUGGAAAUAAUUUCAAAUGUGCCCAAAGACUUAUUCAAUAUGAUGUGUAUCCCAGUUGAUGUUUAUAAUGUUAAGAAAUUGGAAAUCCUCACUAAGCAACUGAUUGAGUUGAAUACAGUCACAGGAUCCAAUAUGGGACACUGGUGCACACCAGAAGAGUCCUUGCCAGAAAGGGAAGACUGUGAGGUCCAUGAGGCAGAAGAAGCCCUCAGAGGAAUCCCUCCUGCUGGCCUCCGUUGUAAGAGCAUUCAUCACAAUUUGGAAGCACUGUUGUUCUCUCUUAUCCACGGUUUCAGUUAUGCAAGGUCAAUCGCAGUCUGAAAAUAGACACAGGGAUCACAUUUACGAAGGGAUCUUUCAAGAGCCUCAAAAGCAGGACUACUUCAUGAGCCAACUCGUAGUGACAAGCCCUGCCCCUGCAAGUGAGAAGGGGGGCGCUUCCAAAUCAAGCACCAUUUGUCAAGGUGGGAUGGAAUGGGUAACUUUUUUGCUCCCUGAAGUCAAAAAUAUUUUUUAAAAAUGAGUUUGUCGUGUCUUGUUGCAUAAUACAGAGCAGUAUUUAUAGAACAUGGAAAUGAAUAUGAAAA
ensembl:lncRNA LINC01739 long intergenic non-protein coding RNA 1739